UGUCAGCUUCUACUCUCUCUCUCUUUCGCUCUCAGUCCCAAAUAUGGAUUUGCAGAUUUUCUUUUUUUACUUUUUGUCAACAAAUUUGAAAAGAUGAUAGAGGAAGAGAAGAAGAUAAAAAAAAAUUGUUCAAGCGUGUGAAUAAGAUCAGAUGAAGAAGACAGUACAGUAAAUUAGAUGAUGAGUUUCGACUUAUGAACGGCUGUUACAACGAUGGCGAGCUCCAUCCUAAUGAACAGCGACAAUGGCGAUGAUGAGCUAUGCCAUAAUGAGCGGCGACAACAAUGAAUGGUAGCUCCGUCUUAAUGAACGGCGGAAACGACAAACGGUGAGCUCCACGGCGGCAACGAAGAACAAUGAGCUCCGGCUUAAUAAACGACGGUAAAGACGAACGAUGAGCUCCGGCGCCGAUGAUGAUGAGCUUUGCCUUUAUGAACGGCGGUAACGAUGAUGGCCGCUUGAUUGUCCAAAACGGCGGUACCUUAAAUCAAUUUUCCUGUAAGACAUAGAUUGUUGCUGAGUAAUUUAAUAAUAAAACUCACUUCAGCUUCUUGAUGAUUUAGAGGUCACUCUUACCUUGGCUGCAAGUCCUUUUUAGAGGAUGUUAACUGGUAAGUCCAUAUGUUCAAUUUCCUUCCAUUUUGUAUUAUUUUAUGGUAUCAUCUUUGGUCUGUUUUCAGCUCAUACCAAAUAAUCAACGAGAUCUUUAAAGGAGAUGAUGAUAAAAAGGAUUACGUAGAGAAUAAGUGUUUGUGGUAACAAUGGAUGGUGACAAAGAUCAUGUGUCCUUUGCUCAAAGAACUUCUCUUAGGUCUCCAGAACCCGAAAGAAGAAAAUACUUAAGAGAAUAAAUAAUAAGUCGAAGGGACAAGGGGACAGAAUUUCAUUAACAUUUUUAGAGAGGUGAGCGCAUGAGAUCUACUUGCGGCUCUCUCCUCUCUCCUCCUUUCUCUUCUUCUGAUCACGACUCCGUGCACCGAGUGAAAAGUUCCUCCGGCGAUUCCGAUGUUGAAGAGGAACUACUAGUCCAUGGCGCUUCAUCAGCAGUCCAAUACACCUACCGGCGAGGUCACCAGAUCGAAAUCAAGAGAGUUUGUGGCGAGGAGAAGCUUCCGUAGGAAACUUCCGGUAAGAGCUCUACCGGCGGCGUGGCUAUGAGGUUAGAAGAAAGAAGUUCUCGGCUAGGAAUGAGAAAGAUACGACGGUUAGAUCUGAACGGCUGGUGCCUGGUGACGCAGGAGGUUUUGUCAUGGCUGGUGGUUUGACGGGGGAGGUCUACCACCGAAAAGGCAAGGCGAAGCCACCGUAGAUGGCUUUUUAGAUCUACUCCCUACUGCUCUAUCUAUCAGACUGAACUAUGGCUUCCGGAUUGCUAGAUUGGUUUCUUCUUCCUUCUCUUCACAACUCUACGGUGGCGGGAUGGUGAUGGUCCUGUGUCACCUUCUCUGUUUGACUCCUGUCUUUCUGGCUCGCCGGUGGUCCUGGUCUGGCGAAUAUUCGCAGCUUCAUUGCAGAUUAGGAUUUUUAGUUUAUAUCGGUUAGCUACUGGUUUAGAUUGGUUUAUACCUAGGUCAAUUUUGGUCUAUGUUAUUGAUACUAGGAUUUUUGUGUGUCAUAGCAGGUUCAAUUAACCUUAUGUGUUGUAGUACUUAAGGUGUCAAUCC